rnacentral:rRNA from 1 species
GCGGCAACAGCUCAAAUUUGAAAUCUGGCUCUCGGGCCCGAGUUGUAAUUUGUAGAGGAUGCUUUUGAUGCGGUGCCUUCCGAGUUCCCUGGAACGGGACGCCAUAGAGGGUGAGAGCCCCGUCUGGUUGGAUGCCAAAUCUCUGUAAAGCUCCUUCGACGAGUCGAGUAGUUUGGGAAUGCUGCUCUAAAUGGGAGGUAUAUGUCUUCUAAAGCUAAAUACCGGCCAGAGACCGAUAGCGCACAAGUAGAGUGAUCGAAAGAUGAAAAGCACUUUGAAAAGAGAGUUAAAAAGUACGUGAAAUUGUUGAAAGGGAAGCGUUUAUGACCAGACUUGGGCUUGGUUAAUCAUCUGGGGUUCUCCCCAGUGCACUUUUCCAGUCCAGGCCAGCAUCAGUUUUCGCCGGGGGAUAAAGGCUUCGGGAAUGUGGCUCUCUCCGGGGAGUGUUAUAGCCCGUUGCGUAAUACCCUGGCGGGGACUGAGGUUCGCGCAUCUGCAAGGAUGCUGGCGUAAUGGUCAUCAACGACCCGUCUUGAANNNNNNGGAACNAAA